rnacentral:misc_RNA from 1 species
GUUUUAAGCUUCAUUACUCGUCACACCAUUUCAUACUUCCUGACUUCAGCACAAGUUACAGACUGGACAGGUAGGACUCAACUCGAGCCAUUUAUCAAGGCAUACAGCAUGGAACUGAUGGAUACAUGGAAAGCAACAAACAAGGUCUCCCUCAAUAACUGGCUCCAAACAAAUAUUACAUAUCAAUUCAUCAGAUGAACCAUCUUCGUCGGGCACACCUAUUGUCAUAGAUUCCUGGUCUGAGGCUAAGGCUGAGGUUGAAGAAGAUGAGGCCUGUUCCGGUGGAGCAUCCUCACUCUCUAGACAAGCAUCUAUCUCUUCGUCAUUCACAGAAGGAAUUCUGAAGAUAGAAGAUAACUCUCCGUAGGUAUGGUGUUCAAACUCAU